UACAGAGGGGGCAAGCGUUGUCCGGAAUUACUGGGCGUAAAGCGCGCGUAGGUGGUUCGUUAAGUUGGAUGUGAAAUCCCCGGGCUCAACCUGGGAACUGCAUUCAAAACUGUCGAGCUAGAGUGUGGUAGAGGGUGGUGGAAUUUCCUGUGUAGCGGUGAAAUGCGUAGAUGUAGGAAGGAACACCAGUGGCGAAGGCGACCACCUGGACUGAUACUGACACUGAGGUGCGAAAGCGUGGGGAGCAAACAGG
rnacentral:rRNA from 1 species